GACAUAUCACGUUGAAAACACCGGUUCAAUAUGAUCACCGAAGUUAAGCAACGUCGAGCAUGGUCAGUACUUAGAUGAGUAAUCACUUGGGAAUACUAGGUGCUGUAA